rnacentral:rRNA from 1 species
UGGGGAAUUUUGGACAAUGGGCGAAAGCCUGAUCCAGCAAUGCCGCGUGUGUGAAGAAGGCCUUCGGGUUGUAAAGCACUUUUGUCCGGAAAGAAAUCCUUGGCUCUAAUACAGUCGGGGGAUGACGGUACCGGAAGAAUAAGCACCGGCUAACUACGUGCCAGCAGCCGCGGUAAUACGUAGGGUGCAAGCGUUAAUCGGAAUUACUGGGCGUAAAGCGUGCGCAGGCGGUUUGCUAAGACCGAUGUGAAAUCCCCGGGCUCAACCUGGGAACUGCAUUGGUGACUGGCAGGCUAGAGUAUGGCAGAGGGGGGUAGAAUUCCACGUGUAGCAGUGAAAUGCGUAGAGAUGUGGAGGAAUACCGAUGGCGAAGGCAGCCCCCUGGGCCAAUACUGACGCUCAUGCACGAAAGCGUGGGGAGCAAACAGGAUUAGAUACCCUGGCAGUCCACGCCCUAAACGAUGUCAACUAGUUGUUGGGGAUUCAUUUCCUUAGUAACGUAGCUAACGCGUGAAGUUGACCGCCUGGGGAGUACGGUCGCAAGAUUAAAACUCAAAUGAAUUGACGGGGUCAUAGCUGUUUCC